GUCCCUGUAGCUUAACACAAAGCAUGGCACUGAAGAUGCCAAGAUGGCUUCCCAUGCCCGAGGACA
rnacentral:tRNA from 1 species